rnacentral:lncRNA from 1 species
AGGUGGCAGAGUGGAAGGACUGAGGGCUCUCAGCUGAGCUGUGCACAUGGCGGGCACAGGACCGGCUGGCUGUGAGUGGGUGUGGCCUGUGGCCUGUGAAGGGUGGGAGGAGGGCUGUGGAGCUGGGGAUUCUGGGAAGGGAAUGUCGGCCCAGCUGGGAGGUUGUACCAGAUGACCUCAGCGGCCUCUUCAGUCCUGAAAAAAACCUCAGCAUCUCCUCUGUCGUUUUGGGCCGUGACAGGACGCAGCCAUCUCCCUGUGCACGCUGAGAUCCUGCAAUGGGCCCUCAAAUCAGGGGCUGGCAUCACCCAGCCUGGUCAGCCAGGGCCACUCUUUCAUCCUUCUCAGUUCUUCUCAGCCAGCCUCGCCCUGGGCUGACGAGGCUCCGUCAGCUCCCCUUGCCCGUCCUUAGGGAAUGCAGCUGGAAGAUCUCAAACAGCAGCUCCAGCAGGCCGAGGAGGCCCUGGUGGCCAAACAGGAGGUGAUCGAUAAGCUGAAGGAGGAGGCCGAGCAGCACAAGAUUGUGAUGGAGACCGUUCCGGUGCUGAAGGCCCAGGCGGAUAUCUACAAGGCGGACUUCCAGGCUGAGAGGCAGGCCCGGGAGAAGCUGGCCGAGAAGAAGGAGCUCCUGCAGGAGCAGCUGGAGCAGCUGCAGAGGGAGUACAGCAAACUGAAGGCCAGCUGUCAGGAGUCGGCCAGGAUCGAGGACAUGAGGAAGCGGCAU